UACCGCUUGCGGUGGUGUGGAAACGAGCGUAAGUGAACUUAUUUUCACUAGACAAAUACUAACAUAUUGUAGUUUUUAAAAGACGAUUUUAUUCUUUCGUAAAUGUAACUCAUUGUCAAUAAAACUCAUGAUUCGAUAAUGUGUAACGCAUGUGGAAUCGUAAUACAUUCGGAUUUUUCUAGUUUAGUCGGAGUGAAUUCCACGUAAAUACAUCUUCCUUUUUGAUAAAUUUCGUUUCUUAAUUAAAGUCAACAAAGUGCAUAUACCUUUGGGAAUUUAGAAUUAGGCAAUUCCAUCUUUCUCCCCCGCUUAACCUUUCGCAGUCGACACAAGUUGUUAUAAUAAAACAUGAUAUUUGCAUAACAAAUGAGCACGUCUCCCGUGAAAUCCGAUAGAGAACAAAAAAACGAUGCUCAUUCAGAACCGGUUACUAAAAAUGACGAAAGAACGAUGUUUAAAUUUUGUACAUUCGAGAUACGGGUAAUCCGUCUAAAAGGCCCAUUGCAUUAUACAUACAAAAUGGAAUACAGUCAGAACUUAACUCCCAUCUUCGCUUUUGAAUCUAUAUUGUAGAAAUUAGUUUAAAAAUGUUUAUUACAAAUUUAUAUACACGCAUGAUUUAUAGAUUACUUAACUGAAUCUACUAUUGAAUACUUUUUUCAAAAAAUCACUACAUUCACACACAUAAAAAGAAAGGCAACAAAUAUGAUAACUUGCAUUUUAUAAUAUUAUUAAUUGAUUUUAGACUCAAUUAAAAACCACAAGAGAAAUGUUUUGUCGCAGUAUACAUAUAAAUUUAUUACUUUCGACAGAAAGGAAGUGAUCCGUUAAUAACGGAAAUCACAAAUCAGUUGGAAUAUAAGAUGACUAUUUGAGUUGGAAAAAUUUUCAACGGAUACUUGCCAAAGAAGCUGUGAAUGACGGACUUCCAGAGAAUACAUACGUGAAACGCAAGAAAAUGAUGCACGAAUAACAACGUUUUACGCAUAAGUUGGCUGCCUCGCCACGAAUUCCAACGACCAGUACAGGCAUUGUUGCAUGGCGAUCUUCGCAGGAAGAGUAUCGCUUGGAAUUUAACGGACCUAUGCAUAUUUCCCCAAAAGGGACAAUCAGCCCACCACUGGAACCCGAUGCUGUUCCAAUAACUCAUCAACGAUGCAUAUUUCUUAGAUGAUUACAAAGUAAUUACAUGAAUUUUCAACCAGUUCCUUGUAAUUUUAACAUGUGUAAUAAAAUUCAUUAACGUUUCAA